GCUUACGGCCACAACCACCUGAGCGCGCCCGAUCUCGUCUGAUCUCGGAAGCUAAGCAGGGUCGGGCCUGGUUAGUACUUGGAUGGGAGACCGCCUGGGAAUACCAGGUGCCGUAAGCU
rnacentral:rRNA from 1 species